ACUUAAAUUGAAGAGUUUGAUCAUGGCUCAGAUUGAACGCUGGCGGCAGGCCUAACACAUGCAAGUCGAGCGGUAGCACAGAGAGCUUGCUCUCGGGUGACGAGCGGCGGACGGGUGAGUAAUGUCUGGGAAACUGCCUGAUGGAGGGGGAUAACUACUGGAAACGGUAGCUAAUACCGCAUAACGUCGCAAGACCAAAGUGGGGGACCUUCGGGCCUCAUGCCAUCAG
rnacentral:rRNA from 1 species